AGAGUUUGAUCCUGGCUCAGGACGAACGCUGGCGGCGUGCUUAACACAUGCAAGUCGAACGGUUUAUAAGGGCUUGCCCUUAUAGAUAGUGGCGAACGGGUGCGUAACACGUGAGCAACCUGCCCCAGAGUUUGGUAUAACACCGGGAACCGAUGCUAAUACCAAAUAAUGCUCACACUAUCACAAGAUAGAGUGAGGAAAGUUUUUACGUCUUUGGGUAGGGGCGUCGCGGCCGUAUCAGCUUGUUGGUGAGGUAACGGCUCACCAAGGCAUCGACGGGUAGGCUGGUCUGAGAGGACGAUCAGCCACACUGGCACUGAGACACGGGCCAGACUCCUACGGGAGGGCGAC
rnacentral:rRNA from 1 species